CAUUAAGUUAUGUGUGUUUUAGUGGAACGCUCUGGGAAGUGCGAACGUAGAGGGUGAUAUUCCCGUACACGAAAGGGCACACAUAAUGAUGACGAGUAGGGCGAGGCACGUGAAACCUUGUCUGAAUAUGGGGGGACCAUCCUCCAAGGCUAAAUACUCCUGACUGACCGAUAGUGAACCAGUACCGUGAGGGAAAGGCGAAAAGAACCCCUGUGAGGGGAGUGAAAUAGAUCCUGAAACCGCAUGCAUACAAGCAGUGGGAGCACCUUCGUGGUGUGACUGCGUACCUUUUGUAUAAUGGGUCAGCGACUUAUAUUCAGUAGCGAGGUUAACCGUAUAGGGGAGCCGUAGAGAAAUCGAGUCUUAAUAGGGCGUUUAGUUGCUGGGUAUAGACCCGAAACCAGGCGAUCUAUCCAUGAGCAGGUUGAAGGUUGGGUAACACUAACUGGAGGACCGAACCCACUGUCGUUGAAAAGCCAGGGGAUGACUUGUGGAUAGGGGUGAAAGGCUAAUCAAGCCUGGUGAUAGCUGGUUCUCCCCGAAAGCUAUUUAGGUAGCGCCUCGGACGAAUACCAUAGGGGGUAGAGCACUGUUUCGGCUAGGGGGUCAUCCCGACUUACCAAACCGAUGCAAACUCCGAAUACCUAUGAGUACUAUCCGGGAGACAGACUGCGGGUGCUAACGUCCGUAGUCAAGAGGAAAACAAUCCAGACCGCCAGCUAAGGCCCCAAAAUCAUAGUUAAGUGGGAAACGAUGUGGGAAGGCAUAGACAGCUAGGAGGUUGGCUUAGAAGCAGCCACCCUUUAAAGAAAGCGUAAUAGCUCACUAGUCGAGUCGGCCUGCGCGGAAGAUGUAACGGGGCUAAAACUAUGUGCCGAAGCUGCGGAUGUAUACUUUGUAUACGUGGUAGGGGAGCGUUCUGUAAGCCGAUGAAGGUGUGUUGAGAAGCAUGCUGGAGGUAUCAGAAGUGCGAAUGCUGACGUGAGUAACGACAAAACGGGUGAAAAACCCGUUCGCCGAAAGACCAAGGGUUCCAGUCCAACGUUAAUCGGGGCUGGGUGAGUCGACCCCUAAGGCGAGGCCGAAAGGCGUAGUCGAUGGGAAAAUGGUUAAUAUUCCAUUACUUCUGUGUAAUGCGAUGAGAGGACGGAGAAGGCUAAAUCAGCCUGGCGUUGGUUGUCCAGGUGAAAGGAUGUAGGCAUGUAUCUUAGGCAAAUCCGGGGUACUCUAUGCUGAGAUCUGAUAGCAAGCUGUACUUGUACAGCGAAGUGGUUGAUGCCAUGCUUCCAGGAAAAGUCUCUAAGCUUCAGUUACACAGGAAUCGUACCCGAAACCGACACAGGUGGUCAGGUCGAGUAGACCAAGGCGCUUGAGAGAACUCUGCUGAAGGAACUAGGCAAAAUGGUACCGUAACUUCGGGAGAAGGUACGCUGUUGUUGGUGAUGGAACUCGCUUCCUGAGCUGACGACAGCCGCAGAAACCAGGCCGCUGCAACUGUUUAUUAAAAACAUAGCACUCUGCAAACACGAAAGUGGACGUAUAGGGUGUGAUGCCUGCCCGGUGCUGGAAGGUUAAUUGAUGGGGUUAGCGUAAGCGAAGCUCUUGAUCGAAGCCCCAGUAAACGGCGGCCGUAACUAUAACGGUCCUAAGGUAGCGAAAUUCCUUGUCGGGUAAGUUCCGACCUGCACGAAUGGCAUAAUGAUGGCGGCGCUGUCUCCAGCAGAGGCUCAGUGAAAUCGAAAUCGCUGUGAAGAUGCAGUGUACCCGCGGCUAGACGGAAAGACCCCGUGAACCUUUACUGCAGCUUGACACUGAACUUUGACCUUACUUGUGUAGGAUAGGUGGGAGGCUUUGAAGCUGGAACGCUAGUUCCAGUGGAGCCGUCCUUGAAAUACCACCCUGGUAAUGUUGAGGUUCUAACUCUGUCCCGUGAUCCGGGACGAGGACCGUGUCUGGUGGGUAGUUUGACUGGGGCGGUCUCCUCCUAAAGAGUAACGGAGGAGUACGAAGGUGCGCUCAGCGUGGUCGGAAAUCACGCGUAGAGUAUAAAGGCAAAAGCGCGCUUAACUGCGAGACCCACAAGUCGAGCAGGUACGAAAGUAGGUCUUAGUGAUCCGGUGGUUCUGUAUGGAAGGGCCAUCGCUCAACGGAUAAAAGGUACUCUGGGGAUAACAGGCUGAUACCGCCCAAGAGUUCAUAUCGACGGCGGUGUUUGGCACCUCGAUGUCGGCUCAUCUCAUCCUGGGGCUGAAGCAGGUCCCAAGGGGAUGGCUGUUCGCCAUUUAAAGAGGUACGCGAGCUGGGUUUAGAACGUCGUGAGACAGUUCGGUCCCUAUCUACCGUGGGCGCUGGAAAUUUGAGAGGAUCUGCUCCUAGUACGAGAGGACCAGAGUGGACGAACCUCUGGUGUACCGGUUGUGACGCCAGUCGCAUCGCCGGGUAGCUAUGUUCGGAAGGGAUAACCGCUGAAAGCAUCUAAGCGGGAAGCCUACCUCAAGAUAAGAUUUCCCUAGGACUUUAUGUCCUCUAAAGAGCCGUUCGAGACUAGGACGUUGAUAGGUUGGAUGUGGAAGCAUAGUGAUAUGUGAAGCUGACCAAUACUAAUUGCUCGUGAGGCUUGACUAU
rnacentral:rRNA from 1 species